CGCGUGCGCACGCGCUGCAGGCGCGCGGCCAGAGGGUGGUGUGCUCGGGGCGCGCGGGCACCCUGAGGCCCCCUCCAUCGGCUGCUGCGCCUCAGCGUGCUUCUCUGCCUGUUCCGCCUGCUCGCGGCACUUGGCCAGCCCCGGCAGGCGGGAGACCUGCAGCCCCGGGCUAGCGUCCCGCAGCCUGACCUUCCGAGCUGCAGCUAUAAAGGCAAGAGGUAGACUACAACACAUUUCUGCAAGGACAACAUUUUAUCCUUAAACUUCAGCACACUGGAUGGUCAAGAACAAUUGGCUACAUACAUUCUUUUUCUUCUGUGAGAUUUGGCCUGCUCACAUAUAAAUGGCAUUUAUAAUGUUG